rnacentral:ncRNA from 1 species
UAUUUUACAAAGAGCCCUAGGGUUGAAGAAGGUCCCAAGGGUUCGGUUGUUCGCUAAUUCAAGUGGUACGUGAGUUGGGUUUAGAACGUCAUGAGGCAGUUC